GUACUGCUGAAGAGUCCCAAACUAGAUGGACGAAAUAGCUGUCCAGCAC
rnacentral:hammerhead_ribozyme from 1 species